AUCAGAUAUAGGGCAAGAGGGAGGCAGAUGGUUAACGACAAUACCAUUUAUACAAAGGAGCCUUGAAGGAGAUCUCUCUCAGACUAGCUUGAGAAAGCGUUCUAGAGGCUCAGACACGAGCUCACCUCUAGAGCUUGAUAGCAGAUCUUGACUCAAGGGUGCGCACUCCGUCUCCAGGCUGCCAUGGGUCAUCCUAGUUGUCCUUGUCUAUCUUUCGGGCAAUGAAACAUUCUUUAUUUACUUUAUUUUUGGAUCUCUUUUAGACAUGAUUUUUGUUAGGAGUUCUUGUACGAUGACUUUUGGGUCUUGGAGAUUUCAGUGAGUAGCUUGUUGAAUGAUUAGCUCCAGAUUAUUGUAAGUUGAUUUUAUGAUAAUAUCGUUUUAAUAUUGA